CCUCCUUUCAAGGACGUGCUUCGUAGGUCUGAUUUAUUUCAUAUCCAUGAAACACAUAAUCCUUAUUUUAGUACCAUAGCGCCAAGAUGGACCGCCGUCUUCGCAUCCCUUUCGAGAGCCAGUCUAUUUUCUGGAUCAUUAUGUUGAUAUCCGGGCUUUUAUUAUUCAGGACCGGUUGAUCCGGGCCUGUAGCUCAGCUUGGUUAGAGCGCACGCCUGAUAAGCGUGAGGUCGGUAGUUCGAGUCUACCCAGGCCCACCAUUUACUUGGGGGCGUAGCUCAGCUGGGAGAGCACCUGCUUUGCAAGCAGGAGGUCAUCGGUUCGAACCCGUUCGCCUCCACCAAUUCAUUUAAUGGGCGUAUUUUGGCCAAGACUUGGCUCUGAAAGUUAAGGUUUCCCGCAGGUUUCCUCUAAAUUGAGAAAAUUCCGGGUUUUCUGCUCUUUUAUAUUGUGAAUAGGUCUGAUGAUUAAUCGUAAUUCUCUUUGGAAAUUAUGAUUAUACUGUCAUUUUGACAUGAGUACUGACAGG
rnacentral:tRNA from 1 species